rnacentral:rRNA from 1 species
AUUGAACGCUGGCGGCAGGCCUAACACAUGCAAGUCGAACGAGGCGCGGACGGGAGAGUAAUGUCGGGGAAACUGCCUGAGGGAGGGGGAUAACUACUGGAAACGGGAGCUAAUACCGCAUACUCGCGGAUGGGCCCAGAGGGGAUUAGCUGGUAGGUGGGGUAACGGCUCACCUAGGCGACGAUCCCUAGCUGGUCUGAGAGGAUGACCAGCCACACUGGAACUGAGACACGGUCCAGACUCCUACGGGAGGCAGCAGUGGGGAAUAUUGCACAAUGGGCGCAAGCCUGAUGCAGCCAUGCCGCGUGUAUGAAGAAGGCCUUCGGGUUGUAAAGUACUUUCAGCGGGGAGGCGUUACCCGCAGAAGAAGCACCGGCUAACUCCGUGCCAGCAGCCGCGGUAAUAC